rnacentral:lncRNA from 1 species
GCUGGAGGUGCAGCAGCAUUAGCAUCACCUGAAGAUGUUCCUCAAUGAGAAGUCUGGGAACACUCUGUGUUUGUGUGUGUGUGUGUGUGUGUGUUUUUUCAGACACUGAAGGGCCUGUGCAUCGACAGUCAGCGCAGCAGAAUCCUGCAGAGGCUGGAACUCUCCCUGGACAUCCUCGCCGGCACCGUGGAGCGAAUCUCCAACACGGCUGAGGUGCUCGGAGCCGUGCACCAGGAGGCGCGAGUGAGUCGGGCGGUGGAGCUGAUGUUGGCUCACGUGGAGAAUCUGAGGAGACAACACGAUAAAAACGUAUCAGAUCUGGAGGAAGCCAAGAAGCUGAUCCAGCAGCAGAGCAUCUUGUCUCCCAGAGCAUGUUCAGAUCCAGAGGACAGUGACAGCCGAAUGAGGAGCUUCCAGCAGGUAUUUGUGUGUGCCUCAUUAGUCACCAUGACCCUUUCAGAACUUUCAAAUCUGUAUUUUUGUACGUCUUUCAUGUAUUUGACCCAGAAUAGCAGCCGUCGGAGGGUCAGCAUGUCAUUAAUUUCCAGGGAAUCUCAGGUAAUUCUGGCUUCUGUAGUUGUCGUCAAUGUUGCUGGAAACAAAUGUAGGAGAAACAAAGUGCUUCUUGGUCUGUGCAGGUGAUAAAGCGACAACUGAAAAAACGAGUGACGCAAAGCACCAAGAAGCCGGGCCGCUCUGGGUCCCCCAGCUCCGAGUCCAGCUGUUCUGUUUUGACCAAAGAGGACAACUGCUUGGUGGAUGACAGGUGUCCUCAUGAGGAUCCUGGUCUGGUCUACCUCAGUGUUUCCACCCAGUCUUUGUUUACCUAUUUUUUCCCUCUUUACAGACCAGCGAAUCCAGAUGACCCCCCAUCAGCUCCACCUCCUCCAGCGCAGUCUUCCAUCCCCGACCCAGAUCACCUCCCGAAACAUCCUUCCAGCAGGAAGAUGCAGAGGAAAAAUUCACCUCCGCCUGCUGUGCGACAGAGGCACAGGAUCACGUCCUCGCUCGCCAGGAAAAAAGCAGACAAAGAUAAACGGAGUAAGGACGUUUACCACAGGCUUUCUGUGGGCAAGUCUGGAUCAGUGUGCAGGCGACCUCUGGCCCUCUGGCUGGACUGCUGCCGGUGGAUGCUCCUCUUCAUCUACAUGUUGGUGCUUUUCUGCGUCAUAA